rnacentral:rRNA from 1 species
GAUGAACGCUAGCUACAGGCUUAACACAUGCAAGUCGAGGGGUAACAAGAGGAAAGCUUGCUUUUCUUGUUGACGACCGGCGCACGGGUGAGUAACGCGUAUCCAACCUGCCUAUAACUAGGGAAUAACCUUGCGGAAGUAAGACUAAUACCCUAUGAUUUCCUUUGAUGACAUCAGAUUAGGAAUAAAGAUUUAUCGGUUAUAGAUGGGGAUGCGUCUGAUUAGCUUGUUGGCGGGGUAACGGCCCACCAAGGCAACGAUCAGUAGGGGUUCUGAGAGGAAGGUCCCCCACAUUGGAACUGAGACACGGUCCGAACUCCUACGGGAGGCAGCAGUGAGGAAUAUUGGUCAAUGGGCGGAAGCCUGAACCAGCCAAGUAGCGUGCAGGAUGACGGCCCUAUGGGUUGUAAACUGCUUUAUACAGGAAUAAAGUUAGCCACGUGUGGUUAUUUGUAGGUACUGUAUGAAUAAGGACCGGCUAAUUCCGCGCCAGCAGCCGCAGUAA